UACGGAGGAUGCGAGCGUUAUCCGGAUUUAUUGGGUUUAAAGGGUGCGUAGGCGGAAUGAUAAGUCAGUGGUGAAAACCUGCAGCUUAACUGUAGACUUGCCGUUGAUACUGUCAGUCUUGAGUGUGGUCAAGGUAGGCGGAAUGUGUAAUGUAGCGGUGAAAUGCUUAGAUAUUACACAGAACACCGAUUGCGAAGGCAGCUUACUGGGCCAUUACUGACGCUGAUGCACGAAAGCGUGGGGAUCGAACAGG
rnacentral:rRNA from 2 species